UAAGUUGUCACUUGCGAAGGUUUUUUGGAACGAUAUAGAGAAGAUUAGCAUGGGCCCUACGCAAGGAAUAAAAUUAGGAAUGAUAGGAGACCUCCUUUUUG